rnacentral:rRNA from 1 species
CCGAAUGGGGAAACCCAGUGUGAUUCGUCACACUAUCAUUAACUGAAUCCAUAGGUUAAUGAGGCGAACCGGGGGAACUGAAACAUCUAAGUACCCCGAGGAAAAGAAAUCAACCGAGAUUCCCCCAGUAGCGGCGAGCGAACGGGGAGGAGCCCAGAGCCUGAAUCAGCAUGUGUGUUAGUGGAAGCGUCUGGAAAGGCGCGCGAUACAGGGUGACAGCCCCGUACACAAAAGCGCAUGUGCUGUGAGCUCGAUGAGUAGGGCGGGACACGUGGUAUCCUGUCUGAAUAUGGGGGGACCAUCCUCCAAGGCUAAAUACUCCUGACUGACCGAUAGUGAACCAGUACCGUGAGGGAAAGGCGAAAAGAACCCCGGCGAGGGGAGUGAAAAAGAACCUGAAACCGUGUACGUACAAGCAGUGGGANNNNNNNNNNNNNNNNNNNNNNNNNNNNNNNNNNNNNNNNGGGCGUUAAGUUGCAGGGUAUAGACCCGAAACCCGGUGAUCUAGCCAUGGGCAGGUUGAAGGUUGGGUAACACUAACUGGAGGACCGAACCGACUAAUGUUGAAAAAUUAGCGGAUGACCUGUGGCUGGGGGUGAAAGGCCAAUCAAACCGGGAGAUAGCUGGUUCUCCCCGAAAGCUAUUUAGGUAGCGCCUCGUGAAUUCAUCUCCGGGGGUAGAGCACUGUUUCGGCUAGGGGGCCAUCCCGGCUUACCAACCCGAUGCAAACUGCGAAUACCGGAGAAUGUUAUCACGGGAGACACACGGCGGGUGCUAACGUCCGUCGUGAAGAGGGAAACAACCCAGACCGCCAGCUAAGGUCCCAAAGUCAUGGUUAAGUGGGAAACGAUGUGGGAAGGCCCAGACAGCCAGGAUGUUGGCUUAGAAGCAGCCAUCAUUUAAAGAAAGCGUAAUAGCUCACUGGUCGAGUCGGCCUGCGCGGAAGAUGUAACGGGGCUAAACCAUGCACCGAAGCUGCGGCAGCGANNNNNNNNNNNNNNNNNNNNNNNNNNNNNNNNNNNNNNNNNUGCUGGAGGUAUCAGAAGUGCGAAUGCUGACAUAAGUAACGAUAAAGCGGGUGAAAAGCCCGCUCGCCGGAAGACCAAGGGUUCCUGUCCAACGUUAAUCGGGGCAGGGUGAGUCGACCCCUAAGGCGAGGCCGAAAGGCGUAGUCGAUGGGAAACGGGUUAAUAUUCCCGUACUUGGUGUUACUGCGAAGGGGGGACGGAGAAGGCUAUGUUGGCCGGGCGACGGUUGUCCCGGUUUAAGCGUGUAGGUGUGUGUUCCAGGUAAAUCCGGUUCACUUUAACACUGAGGCGUGACGACGAGGCACUACGGUGCUGAAGCAACAAAUGCCCUGCUUCCAGGAAAAGCCUCUAAGCAUCAGGUAACACGAAAUCGUACCCCAAACCGACACAGGUGGUCAGGUAGAGAAUACCAAGGCGCUUGAGAGAACUCGGGUGAAGGAACUAGGCAAAAUGGUGCCGUAACUUCGGGAGAAGGCACGCUGACACGUAGGUGAAGUGAUUUACUCAUGGAGCUGAAGUCAGUCGAAGAUACCAGCUGGCUGCAACUGUUUAUUAAAAACACAGCACUGUGCAAACACGAAAGUGGACGUAUACGGUGUGACGCCUGCCCGGUGCCGGAAGGUUAAUUGAUGGGGUCAGCGCAAGCGAAGCUCCUGAUCGAAGCCCCGGUAAACGGCGGCCGUAACUAUAACGGUCCUAAGGUAGCGAAAUUCCUUGUCGGGUAAGUUCCGACCUGCACGAAUGGCGUAAUGAUGGCCAGGCUGUCUCCACCCGAGACUCAGUGAAAUUGAACUCGCUGUGAAGAUGCAGUGUACCCGCGGCAAGACGGAAAGACCCCGUGAACCUUUACUAUAGCUUGACACUGAACAUUGAGCCUUGAUGUGUAGGAUAGGUGGGAGGCUUUGAAGUGUGGACGCCAGUCUGCAUGGAGCCGACCUUGAAAUACCACCCUUUAAUGUUUGAUGUUCUAACGUGGACCCGUAAUCCGGGUUGCGGACAGUGUCUGGUGGGUAGUUUGACUGGGGCGGUCUCCUCCUAAAGAGUAACGGAGGAGCACGAAGGUUGGCUAAUCCUGGUCGGACAUCAGGAGGUUAGUGCAAUGGCAUAAGCCAGCUUGACUGCGAGCGUGACGGCGCGAGCAGGUGCGAAAGCAGGUCAUAGUGAUCCGGUGGUUCUGAAUGGAAGGGCCAUCGCUCAACGGAUAAAAGGUACUCCGGGGAUAACAGGCUGAUACCGCCCAAGAGUUCAUAUCGACGGCGGUGUUUGGCACCUCGAUGUCGGCUCAUCACAUCCUGGGGCUGAAGUAGGUCCCAAGGGUAUGGCUGUUCGCCAUUUAAAGUGGUACGCGAGCUGGGUUUAGAACGUCGUGAGACAGUUCGGUCCCUAUCUGCCGUGGGCGCUGGAGAACUGAGGGGGGCUGCUCCUAGUACGAGAGGACCGGAGUGGACGCAUCACUGGUGUUCGGGUUGUCAUGCCAAUGGCACUGCCCGGUAGCUAAAUGCGGAAGAGAUAAGUGCUGAAAGCAUCUAAGCACGAAACUUGCCCCGAGAUGAGUUCUCCCUGAGACUUAGAGUCUCCUGAAGGAACGUUGAAGA